rnacentral:rRNA from 1 species
AUUGAACGCUGGCGGUAUGCUUAACACAUGCAAGUCGAACGGUAACAGGCCUUCGGGCGCUGACGAGUGGCGGACGGGUGAGUAACGCGUAGGAAUCUGCCUCAUAGUGGGGGACAACGUGGGGAAACUCACGCUAAUACCGCAUACGCCCUACGGGGAAAGCGGGGAUCUUCGGACCUCGCGCUAUGAGAUGAGCCUGCGUUAGAUUAGCUAGUUGGUAGGGUAAAGGCCUACCAAGGCGACGAUCUAUAGCUGGUCUGAGAGGACGAUCAGCCACACUGGGACUGAGACACGGCCCAGACUCCUACGGGAGGCAGCAGUGGGGAAUAUUGGACAAUGGGCGCAAGCCUGAUCCAGCAAUACCGCGUGUGUGAAGAAGGCCUUAGGUUGUAAAGCACUUUCAAUUAGGGAGGAAAACCGUACGCCGGUCAAUACCCGGUAGCUUGACAUUACC